UAAGUACUCUCUCCGUUCAAUAAAGGAUGUCUUAACUUUCACCAAAUUUGAAUGCAUCUAUAUACUUUUUCUGGAAAAAAUGCAUCUAUACACUAAGUUAUGUCUAGAUACAUUUAAAUUUUGACAAAUACGAGACAUUUGUCGUUGGACGGAGGAAGUACGAG
rnacentral:pre_miRNA from 1 species